rnacentral:rRNA from 1 species
AGCGAACGCUGGCGGUAGGCCUAACACAUGCAAGUCGAACGAACGCUCCGGGAGUGGUGGCGGAUGGGGGUGGAGCACGUGGGAACGGUGCGGUAUGCUCGGGAUAACACUGGUAAACGGGGGCUAAUAUCGAGUGUGCUCUGCUAGGGCAGGAUUAAUCGUCCUUAGGGCGGCCCGUGACUGUUUAGCUAGUUGGGUUUGGUAAUGGCGCAGCAGGGUGACAAAGAGUAGCGGGUAUGGGAGGACCAUCCGACACAUUGGUACUUGGACACGGCCCAAAAUCUUACGGGAGGCAGGAGUGGGGAAUCUUGCGAAAUGGGCGAAAGGAUGACGCAGCCAUGCUGGGUGAAUGAUGAAGGUCUUAGGAUAGUAAAAUUCUUUCACCGGGGACGAUAAUGACGGUACCCGGAGAAGAAGCCCCGGCUAACUUCGUG